rnacentral:rRNA from 1 species
UGAACUAUAACAAAAAUGAUUUGCUUACACGAAAUUGAUUGAGCUAAUUAAUAUUUAUUUAUGGAUGUGAAGAUGUUGCAUAAUUAACAAAAUUUAAAUUAGGGGUGACAGGCUUUACAAAAUCAAAGAUAACUUGAUAGCUUAGAGAUGUACUAGUACUAAGACACUCUUGGAGUGACAAGGUUACAAGAGGCUGGCGAAAGUGAAUUUUAAUUGUGUAUCCUAUCUAACCAUAAAUUCUUUUAAACUUUAACAUUAAUUUUAAAAAAUUGCCAUAAUUAUUAGCUACUUGCGAAAUCUUUUCCACCACUUAUAAUGUUUAUAUAAGUAACAAAUAAAUAUUAGUAAUGAACUCGGCAAUAAGCUUUUCAACUGUUUAUCAAAAACAUAGCUAUAUGGAUUGAUAUAUAGUGUUUUCUGCCCAAUGACUUAUUAAAUGGCCGCAGUACCCUGACUGUGCUAAGGUAGCGCAAUCAAUUGACUUUUAAUUAAAGUCCAGAAUGAAAGAAAUUAUGGAGAGCUGCUCUCUCACCAAUAAUAAAUGAAUUUGCUAAAGAAGUGAAAAUUCUUCUAGACAAUUAAUAGACGAGAAGACCCUAGAAAUUUUAAAGAAUCACUUUUUGUUGGGGCAACAGAGUAGUAAUUUAAUCUACUUCAUGACAUGAAAUUAAUAUUUUGACAGAUUAAAUUACUCUAGGGAUAACAGCAUAAUUUGCGAAAGUUUGUGACCUCGAUGUUGGAUUAAGGAGUUAACGUUUAGAAG